rnacentral:lncRNA from 1 species
ACGAAGGCAUCAUAUUUACUUCUGCCGGAAACAACAUAUGCCAUGGUCACAUACAAGUAACACAAAUUAAAAAUCAAAACCAAAUAACCAACAUGCAAAUUCACACAGCGGAAUAACAUCUCUCUUCAUAAAUGGUAAAUAGUGAUGAUUCCCAUAAAACAUCUACCACAAAAUAUCGUAUUGGGCUUUAAGGCCACACAACAUCAAAACCA